CUUCAGAUGAAGAUGUAGACCUCUGAGAGAUUCCUCCACAUGCCUGUCUGGACGCUGCCAUGCUCCUGCUAUGAUGACAAUGGACUGAACCUCUGAACUGCCUAGCUGCUGUGUAGCAAUUUCCUCUCAGCUGAAACAUUCCAUCUGAGAAAGAGACUCCUUAAAACGGACUCAGAAAGCACGUAACCCCAGAUUCAGCAAGUCCCUCCGUCCUCAAGGCUGUAUAAGCAGAAAGGGGAAAGGUCUGCCCCUGGAGCAGGAGCCCAAAUAAAGGCCAGGAUUCUGCUGUGCUCGCGGAAGAAAGAGCUGACUUCCCCAUUUGGCAUGGAAAAUUGCGGUAUUCGGAAUGUCUGUGCUCCCAACAUGCUCCUGCCUGGAAAACCUGACUCUCAAAAGGAUGGAUUAGGAGGUGGAGCUGUUGUGACAUUGAAUCAGGUGGUGAAUGGCACCAGUGAUGAGAGCUGUGUGCUGUGUGUGUGCUGUGUGCUGUGUGUGUGUGUGUGUGUGUGUGUGUGUGUGUGUGUGUGUGUGUGUGUGUGUGUGUAUGAAAGGACUCAGGGAGAAGUUCGUCAUUUGCAAGCCAGAAAGAGUCCUCAUCAUGAACUGGCUCUGCCAGUAUCUUGAGCUGUUGAACUGUGAAGAAUAAAUACCUUUCUGUUGGUUAAACUUA
rnacentral:sRNA from 1 species